rnacentral:rRNA from 1 species
UGGUGGAGUGAUUUGUCUGGUUAAUUCCGUUAACGAACGAGACCUCAGCCUACUAAAUAGUGUUUGCUUUUUCACGAAAGCAAUCAACUUCUUAGAGGGACAUUUCGGUUUUACCGGAAGGAAGUUUGAGGCAAUAACA